rnacentral:lncRNA from 1 species
UUGCAUUUGCCCCAUUGCUCACGUUUGCAUUUGGGGUUUUGCAUUUGCAGCAGGGUCUGCAUCCACCCCCUUUGCAUUCUGGGGUUUUGCAUUUGCAGCAGGGUCUGCAUCCACCCCCUUUGCAUUCUGGGGUUCUGCAUUUGCAGCGGGUUUUGCACUCAUCCCGUUGCUCACGUGUGCAUUUUGGGGUUUUGCAUUUGCAGCAAGGUUUGCAUUCGCCCCGUUGCUCACGUUUGCAUUUGGGGUUUUGCAUUUGCAGCAGGGUUUGCGUUUGCAUUCGAGGGUUCCCACAUUUGCAUUUGGGGUUUUUGCAUUUGCGUUUUGGGGUUUUGCAUUUGCAGCAGGGUUUGCAUUUUCACCCCAUUUGCAUUUGGGGUUUUUGCAUUUGCAUUUAGGGUUUUGCAUUAGCCCCAUUGCUCACAUUUGCAUUUGGGGUUUUGCAUUUGCAGCAGGGUCUGCAUUCACCCCAUUUGCAUUUUGGGGUUUUGCAUUUAGGGUUUUGCAUUUUGGGGUUUUGUGUCUGGGGUUUUGUGUUUGGGGUUUUGUGUUUGGGGUUUUGCAUUUGCCCCAUUACUCACAUUUGCAUUUGUGGGUUUUUGCAUUUGUGGGGUUUUUGCAUUUGG